rnacentral:lncRNA from 1 species
GAAGUUGAAAAAUUUACAGAUUCGGUGGCAGUAAAUCAUCAGAGUGAGAUUUCACAGCAAUUCACAGAAAAGGAUAAUUCGUUCCAGCAACGCAAAAGUCAAAUGUAUUCAUACUAUGAUGUCCUUCAAAUCACUAACAAUUUCAAAAGAAUUAUUGGUAAAGGAGGAUUUGGAACAGUUUACCUGGGCUUUAUCGAUGACACUCCAGUUGCAGUGAAAAUGCUUUCCCCAUCAGCAGUUCAUGGUUAUCAACAAUUUCAAGCAGAGGUAUAUUAAUCAAUUUACUCUAGGUUUCUGACUUUAGUACCGACCCAAUAUGGUUUAACAUGGUUGUGACUUAUAUUUCUAGGUUAAACUUCUACUCAGAGUUCAUCACAAAAAUUUGACAUCCCUUAUUGGUUACUGUAACGAAGGAACCAAUAAGGGUCUCAUAUAUGAGUACAUGGCUAAAGGGAACUUACGAGAACAUCUCUCAGGUUGGUUACGNAUAAAAUUAUUUUGUUCUUAAAAGUUUGUGUAAUCAAUUUCCAAGUUAGAUUUGAUUUCUGAAACUCUGGAGAUGGAAUUUUUAAUAUUGGAGAACUGUAUGAGUCGUAUGAAUAAGUUCUACCGAACACAAACAAACAUGUAUAGAAUAGAAAGUUAUAGAAGUUGUUCUUGUAGGUAAACACAGAGAAUCACCAUUCUUGAGCUGGAAGGACAGACUUGGUGUUGCACUGGAUGCAGCCUUAGGUUAGAAAGUAAAAUUGAAUUUGUGAAUUUACAUUAACUCCCUUUACCCUUUUAACACAUUGCCGUGAUUAUAAAUCUAAUAUCAGGAUUGGAAUAUCUGCAAAAUGGUUGCAAGCCUCCUAUAAUCCACAGAGAUGUGAAAUCUGCAAACAUCUUGUUGGACGAACACUUCCAAGCAAAGUUAUCUGAUUUCGGUCUAUCCAAAGUUGUCCCAGAUGAUGGGGGGUCUUAUGUGUCAACUGUUGUUGCUGGCAGUUUCGGUUAUCUGGACCCUCAGUAAGUACUUUAGUUUUUAACGUUUCCAUCGUUUUCUACGAGAAUAUAAGGAGAUAUUCUACGUUAAUAUUUGAGUUCAUGGCAAAAUCCGCAAAGAGUAAUUAAUUUGGGUUUCAUGACUUCUCUUGCAGCUACCACUAUUCCAAUAGAUUAACUCAGAAAAGUGAUGUUUACAGCUUUGGAGUUGUUCUCUUGGAAAUAAUCACAAAUCAACCAGUAAUGGUAGGGAAUGAAGAAAAGGGUCACAUAAGUGAUCGAGUUAGCUCCAUGAUAUCAAGAGGGGAUAUCAGGGCCAUAGUUGACUCAAGCUUAGAAGGAAAUUUUGACAUAAACUCGGCAUGGAAAGCCGUAGAAAUAGCAAUGGCUUGUGUUUCUCCAAAUCCCAACGAAAGGCCAAUGAUGAGUGUGGUAGUGAUUGAACUACAGGAGGCUUUAGCAACCGAAUUAGCUGAUCCCAGGUGUUCUGUUGCACCGGUCAGCGUGAAAGUAGACACCGAAUAUAAGCCCUUAGCUAGGUAAAUGCUUGCUCAACGUAAGAAUAAUAGAAUAACUUUGUAACAAGUGAAAGUGAUGUUGUACAAGAAGUGUGUCAUUGGGUGAUUUAGUUUGAUUAGUUUUCUGAAUCUUAGUUGUUUGGGAGUGGUGAUAGUAGUAAUGUAGAAUGCGUAUUAUAGUAUACAAAUAAACAAUGAGAAUUGAGUAAAUGAAAUUGAAAAGCAGUGUUAUUAUCAUUUUUUGUUGGAAUAAAUUUUUAGAACAAUCUAUCUUAUUUUGCCCUCUUAUAUGCAAAGUGAACCACAACAACGAAGAAAUGAACCCAAAUAAUGUAAAAUGGUGAAGUAAAUAAGAAAAAAGAAUCAAUACGUCGAAGAAAAAUGAGUCAAACGAACAAAGAAUAAUGGAGAGUUUGAACAGUACCAAGGAAGAUAAUAUCGGAAAAAAAGUUUACUAUACAUACUCCAGAAAGAAAGAGUUCUGUAUUGAAAGGGAAGUUAAUUUAUGAUAGCUGUUUGCAAAGUAUGUGAUGAGUAAGCACACUUGACUCAAUGGACAGUUUUUGAAGUAGUUUUACAAUUUAUGUAAUUUUGUUUUAUUUUAUUUUGGUGUGUAAUUGUCAUAAAUAAGAAUAAAUAUAAAUAGGUUAUUUAAAUGUAAAUUAAAAGUAAUAAAUAGUGGUUACAAUUCAAACAUUCUAAGACCUUGAUGGAAAGUGACAAAUGGAAUAAUCAAUAUUACAAUUUGGAUCACCAUUUUCAUGUAUGCAAUUUAAAUUUCCAAUUAAUCACUUCAAUUCAUCUUCAUCUUUAUCUACAUAUUCUAUACUUUCCUAAUUUUUUUUCAUUUACAAUUCCAUCUUUAUAUAAAAAAAAAAUUACAAAAAUAUGACUUACAUAUUAAUUUGAUUCUAGUUGCAGAAUCUAAAAUCAACAUACUUUGAAUUAGAUUGUAAAUGACAAAUUUUCUAGUCUAAUCGACAAAAAAUCACGUUGGAUAUAUCGACAUUACUUGUAAAAUGGGUAUAACAUUUUCCAAACGGUUAUGCUUCCGCUGGCCGGCAAAUAGCAGAAAUUCAGAUCACAUCACUGCACAUAUAUAGGUACCAUAUUUCUUCUUUCUCUUUCUUCAUACAUAUGCAGGUUUAUUUUAUUCUAAAUAAUCCUCUAAUGUUACUAAUUUUUUUAAAUAUAUAGUUUCUUUUUGUAAUAGGUUCGAGUUAAAUCAUUUUGUUACAUAUUAAUAUUUUAUUUUCUUUGUAACAAUUGUUUUUUAUAUAAUUAAUAAAUAAUAAAAAUACGAUUGUAAAAAUGAAUAAAACAACAACAACAAAAAAAUAAACAGUGAUUUCUUUGCAUUUUUAAAAAAGAAAAUAUAUGCUCUGACCUCGUUUUAAGAAUGUAUCAACUUGACGUGUUGAAUGAAACACAUUCUUAUUAUUUUCCUAUAUAUAAACAGUUAAUAAAAAAGUUCACACACAUUAACAUAGAUUUAAUAGUAUUCAUUAAAUUUGACAACUAUCAAGUGUAAGUGUGUAAUUAAUAUGAAUAGUCUGUAGAUUUUUUUUAUGUAUAAUAUAUAAUUAAAAACAAUAAAACGUAAUAAAUUUAAUAAACAUAAUCUAUAUAUAUUUUAUUUUUGUGGUUUUUUUCUUUAUUUUUCUAUUUUUUUAUUUAAUAUAUAAGAACUGUAACAAAAAGAAGAAGAAACAUUAAUAAAUUAGUAACAUUUAAUGUAAACGAUUUAACUCAAAUGUGUUAGAAAAAAUCAUUUACGAAAAAUGAAAUUUUUUAAUGAUUAAAGAGGACAGUAUUAAAAUUUUAGGUGUUUAUUCAAAUGACAAUAAACUUUAAGAUGAAUGAACACAAAAUUAAAAUUUAAAGUGUUUAUUCCUCGAAGUGUUUAGGAAGUUGAUUAUGUUGGUUCUGCCAUUCUUUGUUUCUGUAUCAUUUUGUAGCAUAUAGCAGCCAAUCAUUCCGCAGUUUUUGUGCUAAUAUUAAGCCUUUUAUUCUAUCUGCGUUUUCAAAAUAAAUUACACUUUGGUCAUAAAAAUAUAUUAAAUCCAUUUUAAGCUUGAUUGAUCGGGUAAUUCAGUGGUAUUAUUUUUAUGAUGCAGAUCGAAGGCUUAAAUACGGAAAGAGAUCAGGUAUGAAAUAUACUGAGCCAAUACUAGCCAUAGAGUACGUUUGGGAUUCAGAUUUCAUAAAUACUGGUAAUAAGGUGGGAGCCAAAAGAUGAAACUGAGAAAUUCUAUGUGUACAUGCACUUCAAGGAGAUCCAACUGCUAACAAGCGAUCAAAGAAGACAAUUCAAAAUCACGAUGAACGGUGAAUUAAGAGUUCAAAAUUUUUCUCCACAGUACCAAGGUGUGGAUACUAUAUAUACGACGGAAGCCACCAAUGGGAAAGAAAUUAAAUAUUCCCUGGAGAGGACUGAAAAUUCAACCCUGCCUCCCAUCAUCAAUGCUAUUGAAAUUUACAAAGUAAUAAACUUACAGAAACCAGAAACGUUCCAAGGAGAUGGUAUUGUUCAUUUUUUAAAUCCAUUUAUUCGGUUUACAUUUUCCUACAUGAACUUAACUACCUUUUACCCAUUUUUUUGCAUUUGAAAAAAGUUGAUGCAAUUACAAGCAUUAAGUCUGCCUAUGGAGUGAAAAGGGUUUGGGAAGGUGAUCCAUGUGCUCCUGCAGCCUACUUGUGGGAUGGUCUCAACUGUACUUAUCUCGGCAAUGAGUUCCCAAGAAUCACAGCUUUGUAAGUCAUGCUUGCCAAAUUAUUAUUAUACCUUCAUAAAACUAAUUAAGAUCAUAUCCUAUAUUACUAUUCAUUGAGCAAAACAGGAAUUUAUCGUCAAGUGGAUUGUCAGGAAAGAUUGACCCUUCCAUCUCAAAACUCACCAUGUUGGAGAAGCUGUGAGUUUUCUUUCUCUUUUGUUUCUUUUAUUUCACCCGACAGAAAAAUCUCUUGUUUUAAAUCUUUUUACUUUUUCCGUUAUGUAUUUAUUGUUUGUGAGGAAUCGACAUAUCUUUUCCUACUUGAGUUGACAUUUAAACAUGGUUAAAAAGGCUAAAUUAUUUGUUUUCCAGGGAUUUAUCUAACAAUAACUUAAAUGGUGAAGUUCCUGAUUUUCUGUCUCAGUUACCAUACUUGAAGAUCCUGUAAGUUACUUCAUUUACUCCAACAGUAUAUAUGUGAUCCUCUGUAUCAGAUAAUGGAAAACCAUUAUUUUUUUAGAAACUUGGAGAAGAAUAACCUCUCCGGUUCGAUUUCCUCUGUACUUGUUGGAAAAUCACACCAAGGUUUUCUCUCACUAAGGUAUGAAUCUAACUAAAAAUUAUCAAAUUUAUAAUAUGAUUAUUUAUGCUGAUUAUUAGUUACUUAUAUUCAAGGCAUUGUUUGAGAUUCAUAUACUCAUGAUCCACCCAAUUUCAAGCACAACCAAAAUAAGUUGAAUUAUGUAUUUAAAUUAUGGAUUACUUGUGAGGUUUACUGAGACUCGAAACAUAAUUUUUCUGUGAUUUCCAUGCUAGAAUGGGUCAAAAUCCAUAUCUAUGUGAAACUGAUCAAUGCAACGACAAGGGAAAGAAAACCACUGUUACACCCAUAGUAGCAUCAGUUAGUGCGAUUUUAAUUCUUCUAAUAGCCGGUGCAAUAUUUUGGAUCCUUAAAAGGAAAAAAUCAAAAGGUAAUGCUGAAAUAACUACGAAAAGUUCGUAUUUUCUAUUAAUAAUUUCUCAAAAAUCUAUCUUUUUAACCUAUUAUCGUUAAAAAAGAAGUUGAACAAUUUACAGAUUCGGUGACAGUAAAUCAUCUGAGUGAAAUUUCUCAGCAAUCCACAGAAAAGGAUGAAUCGUUCAUGCAACGGAAAAGUCAAACGUAUUCAUACUAUGAUGUCCUUCAAAUUACAAACAAUUUCAAUAGAAUUAUUGGUAAAGGAGGAUUUGGAACAGUUUACCUGGGCUUUAUAGGUGACACUUCAGUUGCGGUGAAAAUGCUUUCCACGUCAGCAGUUCAUGGUUACCAACAAUUUCAAGCAGAGGUAAGUAUUUAAUCAAUUUGCUCUAGGUGUCUGAGCUUGGUACCAAACCUAUAUAGUUUAACAUGGUUGUGAUUUUAAUUUCCAGGUUAGACUUCUAAUCAGAGUUCAUCACAAAAAUUUGACAUCACUUAUUGGUUACUGUAAUGAUGGAACCAAUAAGGGCCUCAUAUAUGAGUACAUGGCUAAAGGGAACUUACGAGAACAUCUCUCAGGUUGGUUACNNAUAAAAUUAUUUUGUUCUUAAAAGUUUGUGUAAUCAAUUUCCAAGUUAGAUUUGAUUUCUGAAACUCUGGAGAUGGAAUUUUUAAUAUUGGAGAACUGUAUGAGUCGUACGAAUAAGUUCUACCUAUCAAAAACAAACAUGUAUAGAAUAGAAAGUUACAGAAGUUGUUAUCGUAGGUAAACACAGCGAAUCUCCAUUCUUGAGCUGGAAGGACAGACUUCGUGUAGCAGUGGAUGCAGCCGUAGGUUAGAAAGUAAAAUUCGAACUGUGAAUUUAUGUUAAGUCCCUUUUAGCUUCUUAACACGUUUACCGCAAUUAUAAAUCUAAUAUCAGGAUUGGAAUAUCUGCAUAAUGGUUGCAAGCCUCCUAUAAUCCACAGAGAUGUAAAAUCAUCAAACAUCUUGUUGGAUGAAAACUUCCAAGCAAAGUUAUCUGAUUUCGGUCUAUCCAAAGUUGUCCCAGAUGAUGGAAGAUCUCAUUUGUCAACUAUUGUUGCUGGUACACUUGGUUAUCUGGACCCUCAGUAAGUACUUUAGUUAUUGUCCUUUCCAAUUUUCUUGGAGAAUAUAGGGAGAUUUUCUACCUUAAUAUUUGAGUUAUCAUCACAAAAUCCACAAAGAAUAAAUAAUUUGGGUUUCAUGACUUCUCUUGCAGCUACCAUUCUUCCAAUAGAUUAACACAGAAAAGUGAUGUUUAUAGCUUUGGAGUUGUUCUUUUGGAAAUAAUCACAAAUCAAGCAGUAAUGGCAGGGAAUGAAGAAACGGGUCACAUAAGCGAACGAGUUAACUUGAUGAUAUCAAAAGGGGAUAUCAGGGCCAUAGUUGACUCAAGCUUACAAGGAAAUUUUGACAUUAACUCUGCAUGGAAAGCCGUAGAAAUAGCAAUGGCUUGUGUUCAUCCAAAUCCCAACGAAAGGCCAAUGAUGAGUGUGGUAGUGAUUGAACUACAGGAGGCUUUAGCGACCGAAUUAACUAGAACAAACCAUGAUAUUGGUGCUGAUCCCAGGUAUUCAGUUGCACCGGUCAGCGUGAAUUUAGACAGCGAAUUCAUGCCGUCGGCUAGGUAAACGCUUACUCAACAUAAGAAUCAUAUAAUAACGCUGUAAGAAGGGAAAUUGAUGUUGUACAAGAAGUUGUUUAUUAGGUGCUUUACUCACUUUGAUUAGUUUUCUGAAUCUUUGUUGUUUGGGAGUGGUGAUAGCAGUAAUGUAGAAUGGAUAUCAGUAUACAAAUAAAAAAUGAGAAUUGUAAAACAGUGUUAUUAUCAUUUUUUUUUGCAUUAAAUUUAUUGAACAAUCUAUCUUUGUUUUCUCUUCUUAUUGCAAAGUGAACCAUAAGAACGAAGAAAUGAACCAAGUGUAAAUGAAGAUAUGAUCACAGAAAUAAAUUGGUCAGUUUUUCAGAUUUUAAGGGAAUUUUCUAAAAUCAUAAAUUUUAACCUUUUUAUUAAAGAUAUUAUUUUUAAAGUCUUCUUAACUAAUAAGUUUGAUUCAUAUUUCAAAAAUAGUUUACGACUUCAAAAGCUUAAUCCUUGUAACGCAUUUAGAAAUUUUGUAAUUAUUUUUAUAUCCGUGUAUGUCAACAAGUAUAGUUGAUGUUUUGAAUUAUAAAUAAAAGUUAAAAAUAUUAUUUUGAAUUUGUAAACUGAAGUUUCCUAAAAAAUAAUCACUAUCCAUCUUUAUUAUUUUAUUCCUUUGAUAAAUGUUCUGAUGUACGUUUGGCAAGUGUACCAAUGGUAAUUGUAGUAACAAAAUAUCGUCCUCUGGGAUUGAAUGAGUUGAGUACCAGUUUACUAAUUUACUUAAUUUUGAGCAACAAAGAUUGUCAAGUAGAAUAAUGAACAUAAACAAGUGAUGGAAAUUCAAAUAGUAUAAACAAUGUUAGAGAAUUGAUUUCAUACCUUUUCAUAUAAUUUCCUCCCCUUUUCAAUCGAUGUGUAAAUUAUAAUUAUCCACUUGAGUUUAUUUAGAGCUUGUUUACCCCUAAUCCCUUAGUAGGCAAACGUAUCCCUUGAAUUUGAAUCCCCAAUCCCUUAGGCCAAUUACAAAUUCAACAGAUCAUGAAGAAUAAUCAUAUCUCAAUUCAAACUAACUAGUCCUGCCCAAUUUCCCAAUUGUGACAACAUCUAAUCUGUUCUAUUUAUAAACGCAAACAAUUCCCAAUCUCCCAACUGUGAAACUGCUCAUAGAAUAGACAUUAAAACAUAAAUAGAACACUGGGAUAAUUAACAUGAACUUAACAUCAAUUGAAAAGGUUCAGAAAAUAUAAUCCAAAGUACUACAUCAAUCCACUAACAAAAGGAAAUUUAGUUAUGCAUAAUGGAAAAGAAAAAUCAAAAAACAAAAGUUCAGCCAAAAAGUUCCCCAAGAAGAAGACGAAGAAGAAGACUGUUUUGUUGUGCGUGAAUACCCCUUUUGUCUCCCUCUUCCACGUGUUUUCAUUCCUCCCCCCAUCAUUUCCACUAAUUCCUCCUUUUUAGGAGAGUGGUUUUCCUUUUCCCUAACUUCCUCCAAUUUUCCUUUAAUUUAAUCUCUUUAAAUCAGUCAUAAAAGAGAUCAAUAACUGCUCAAUAACUGCUCCUGGAAACUUUCACAGCCCAUGGAAAAUUCCCCACUCUGCCUGUGUUCUUCUCUGUUCCACUUGCCAAAUCCUGACGUGAAUCCACAGGUUGUGGUAGAAACCACAACUCACUUGUGGAGCUCUCUGUUUUGUCACUGCAUUUUGAAGCAAACUCCAGCAAACUCCACAGGUUAUGGAAUUCUCCCCAGCUGCGUUGUUGAACUCUCUGGAUUCAUCUUUCUAUCUUGUCCAUCAAAUCUUCCAAAAAUGUGGUUUAGGCACUUAGAAUCACCAAUCUACAUCAAAAAACACAAAAUGCCAAUGUAUGAUCCGAAACAAAGAUAAUCCAUGACUAAAUCCUUCAAUGAAUGCAAUUAUGCAUGGAAAUGACCUAAACUAAGACAUGAAUGCAAUUACAUUUACUCACACAUCAUGUUCUAUUGAAGUUUAUCUUUAGCAGGUUUGACUAACAAUUUGUUUUUGAUGGAAUUCAAGAAAAACUAAUGAGAAAAUAUCAAGACAUAAUGGUUGUUUAUAGCUUUUGAUAUACGAGGAAAUAUGGGGAAUUAACCAAUUUCUGUAAAUUUUUUUCGAAAAAGAUAACAUAAUUAUAGUUAAUUUUACUUAAAUUUUAACUGAAUCUUUUUAUUUUCUUAAAAUUGAAAUUGAUCAUAUUGAAUAUAUAAAAAUGAACUAAAGUUAAAAUAACUUUUCUUAAAAGAAGCCACUUUCUCUAGACAUAUGUUAUAUAAAAUAGUAAUAAUAAGUUAAAAUUAAUUAGUUAUUAUAAUUUACAUUAAAUCUUAUUAUUUUUAUUUAUUAUUUGUCGUAUUCUUCAUUAGAUAGCUUAUUUGGAAUUUCUUAUACUUUUACUUAGAGAUACGAAUGAUUGAAUGUGUAAAAUCAUUAUCGGAUGCUUAAUACUUUAUAUUCUUAAAGUAAUGUGUAACUUCCAUUUUAAUAGUAUAAAACUAUUAAAAUAAAACUUUACAUAGUUGAUUUUACUUACCUAUAUAUGUUUUGGCUUCCUCCUUUUCUUCACGCUAGAACGAUAAUUGUGGGUUCUGCUUGCUGAACGUUCAUAGUGGUUAGACUCGUUCAACGAGACUCCAGAACUCUACAGCACCAAAACUACACAAUUUGCACCCUUAAUUUCCCAUGACAUAUUUUAAACAUAUUUACCAAAUUCUAACACUCCUAAAUUGAAUUCUAAACUACUAUGAACCUAAACAAAUGUGUAUAAUCCAACUUAAACUAGUUUUUAACUGUUUUAUAACAAGAUUUUAACUUAAAAACAACUAAAACCUCAAUUUAGAUACCAAAAUUAAAUUCUAUAAGUUCUAGCUUAUUUUUUUAUCAACUUAAGGACUCUAACAAAUAAAAAAUGAUUUACAAACACCUUCCAAAAUGACCAUUUUAACACAUUACCUAAAAUUCAAAAUAUCACUAGUCCAAACCCCCAAAAUUAACUUAAAAACUAACCAAAACACUACCAACUUACUAUUACCACCUUCUAGAUCAGAUUUCAACACAUUCACAACUCUAACAAGUUUUAAAUCACCUCUAAAAAAACUUUAAAACUGAGCUUCAUCCUUUUAACCUUUAAUUCAAAACUCACAUACCCAAAACCUCCUUUUGUUUUUUUUUUUUUUUUUUUUUUUUUUUUUUUUUUUUACGAAAAACAUUUACUACAUCAUCCUAGUUCAAUUCUCCUCCACCUUUAAUCCAUUUCAACACAACAGCACAAAACAUUAUAAAUGAGAGCUUAACACAAAAUCAUACAAAGUACACAAACAUCUCAUCAAGCACAAUUUCACAACAACAAUUUACAUUAACUAACAUCUAUAUCAUAAACAUUCAACAUCUUGCAAUCUCACCCUAAUACUAUCAAUUCUUAAAUCAGCAUAAAACAAAAACUAGCUUCACUUACCUUACACCGAAGUUACUGAACUCUAAGAACACUGAAACCUUUUCUUCCAACUCAAGAAACUCUAAAAACGCCAAAAAAAACCAAAUCGUGAUUAGAGAGAGUACUUAGGAUCACAGAUUGACAAAGAAUCAAGAGUAUAGUUUAAAUGACACAUGCGAAGAGAUUUCUAAACAUGAUCAUAAAUAGAGAGCAAAAGAAACAAAAUGGUAGAAACUUACUUGCUCUAAACAAAGAACUAAUCAGAUAGAAAUGUAGAUUAUUCUGCUACAAUCUCAUAGAAAUUUCUUAAUCGUCAAACAAAUUAUCGAAGAAUUAUAUUUCUUAGAGAAAAAGAAGAGAGAACUUAAAGAAAAUGUUUUAGAGAAAUAGUUUGUAUUUUAAAUAAUAAGACGAGUUUAAAAAGUUUUAUUUAUAUUACUGAAUUAUAAAUUCUCAUGUAUAAAAAAAAAUAAUAAAAUUCAUUAUUACUUUUAAUGGCCUAAUUUCAAGUAACCAUUAUAUAUUAAAUAAUUUACCUUAGUACUAGCACUCACAGUCACUAAAAUAUACUUUGAUUAGAAUAUUUAUUAGUAAAUGAGAUAAUAGAUAAAGAUACAUUUUAUUUAUGAUUUUUUUAAAAAUGUAUAAUUUCUUUGAAAUUAUUAUAAAUGUACAAAAUCAUUUCAAAUCUUAUAAUUUCAUAUUUUAUAAAUUUUUUAAAUCAAAUUGACAAAAUCUAAAUCAUAAAAGUUAGAGAGUAUUGACGGAGUCAUCGUAACGAGGAAGAGAGAAUUGAUGGAUUCGUAAUAUUAGAUGAGGAAUAGAUAAGAUUAGUGAGCGGUUGUGGAUCAGAAACAUUAUAUCUUUUUAAGGUUCAUACGGUGAAAGAACCACAACAUCAACAUUUGGGAAAGAAAGAAGCCACCCAGAAGGAGAUGAACCCGAAUCCAUCACAGAAAAACUCAUCAUACUUCUCUACACCAGUAGAAUUACAUGGAAUUUAUUUUUAGAAUUAUAUAUUAAAUAAAGUUAAAUUGUGUUCAAAUUCGUCAUUAAUGUCUGCUUCAUAUACCAGCUGUUAGAGUCUAUUGACGGAGUCGCAAUAUUGAAUGAGGAUUAGAUAAGGUCACUGAGUGGUUGUGGAUCAGAACCAUUAUAUCUUUUCAGGUUCAUAUGGACAACCAACUACAACAUCAACAUCUCGAAUCGAAAAGAAAGAAGCCACUCAGAAGGAGAUGAACCCGAAUCCAUCACAGCAAAACUCAUCAUGCUUCUCUUCACAAGGAGAAUCACACAUGGUAUUUAUUUUUAGAAUUAUAUAUUAAAUAAAGUUAAAUUAUGUUCAAAUUCGCCAUUAAUGUCUGCUUCACAUACUGAUAAAGAAUAUUGACGAAGUCACAAUAUUAAAUGAGGAUUAGAUAAGGUUAGUGAGUGUUGUGGAUCAGAAACAUUAUAUCUUUUUCAGGUUCAUAUAUGGAGAAAGAACCACCACAUCAACAUCUCGAAUUGGAAAGAAAAAGAAGCCACCCAGAAGGAGCUCAACCCGAAUCCACCACACCAAAACUCAUCAUGCUUCUCUACCCAAGGAGAACCACACAUGGGUAACUUAAUUUUAUACCUUGGUUAACUUUGUUCACUUUUUAUUUUAUAAAAAAUAAUUAUAUUUCUUAGAAGUUUAAUCGUUCCCAGAUUCUGUUUGAGUUGAGAAUCUCAAACAGGUUUCUUAAUUUUGAAAAAUUACUCCAAUUAAACUUGCUGUUAAAUGAGGUCAAUAGUGUUAGACAGACAUUGAUAUGUUGAUAUUAUUGUUUUAAAUGAUGUGGCUUAUGUUAUUUAUUAUAGGUGAUUCUAACGUUUAUUUUCUAAAUUAAAGAAACUGAAAAAUUAAAAAAAAAAUUGGAAAAAGUUAGUUUAGGGUUCAUUCACAAAAAAUCAAUUGAGAAAUUAAGGUUCAUUCGAAUUUUGGAAAAUCAGGGUUUAUUUGAAGUUACUUCCAUAGAACUUGCCUAACCUUGUUGAGGUAUCGAAAGCACAACACACAUCUUCUGCAAGAGAGCCAGAUCAAAGACUUAAUCGCCAGGAGGUUUUUUGUGCGACUGGGAUUUCACUCAUAGAAGUGAAUCAAUUGACCAAAACAAGGGAUAUGGAUGUUCGUCUUUCACAUCUGGCCUUGAUUAGAGAAGUGGCCCAAUUAAAUAAUGCAUGAAUAUAUUUGGUACAAGAAGAUAUGGUAUUUGAUGGUCGAUCCUCCGAGGAGUCCUAUCAAAAAACUUAUUAAUUGUUUCACAAACUUACCAAAUCGUUCAAGUAAUAAAAUCAUGAUAAAAUCAUGUGUCGUUUUCCUAAGAGACUCGUGUAAUACUAAAUAAUCAUACAAUUAGUAAAUCAUCUAGACUAAAGAAUAGUUCAUGAAUUUACAACAAUAUACAAGUAAAUAAAGAUGUAUAAAAAGGGGUGGACUUUGGUAAUUGGAGACACUGAAAAGUGGAAAAAGGGUAGAAAUGAUAUGGAAUGGCAAUGUUAGGGGUAGAUUUAACCGGCUUCAUGCUUUUGCACAUGCGGAAUCAUCUCAACUCCAUCAAAUUCUAAUGUCAACCCUCUAAAACACUCAAACCUUAAUCCCUUAGGUGAGAGAGCCUAAGUUUUCUUACUAAGCGUCAAUCCCUUGAUCAUUCAACAAGCGGACCCACAUUACGACCUAAGAUUUUAGACAACUAAUGGGUCAUGUUCCAUCCAUAGACACAAAUCCCUUCUAGAUCUCUUAUUUCAAGCCUAGGAUUCAUUAGAUUUUUCCUAACACCUAAGGAAACUGUAAAUCAAGCUAAGAACGUCCCUAUUCCCGCAAGCAUUAAGAGUAAAAACAAGAAAAUAACAUUUAAAUGAAGAUGCAUAUAUAUAAUCAAAGCAUUUAUAAGGUACAAGAUGUUGACAACACAAUAUCUAUAUCACUCUUUUUUUUAUGAUGACAACACAUUUUUAAUAGCACACAUAUGUUGUUGUUGUGUUACAUGUUCUUAUGCUGAUUGAUUGAUAUAUUGUUGAACAUGUUUUUCUGUUUUACUACUAUGUGAAUGCAUUCUUAUUGAACUUGUGCAUGUUACAUCAUAUCUGAUUGCAUUACACAUGUUUGAAAGGAUGAAAACCACAUGCACUUUUGUGAACUUAUAACUGUGUGACAAAGCUGCAGUAAAGUCGACUCCAUUACUAAUUGAAUUGACUAUGCUAAAGUCUUUGUACAGAUUUUGAGAAAUAGUGCUAUGUGAGAUUUUGUGAAGGAAAGAAUUUCAAAAUGCUUUGACAUGUCGAAGUCAACUGUGUGCACCACACAUUUGACUAUAUUAGUUGUUUGCUUUGAAAUUUUGUUAUGCUCAUGAACAGUAACGACUGUAUUUUCAAAAGUUAGUUGAGCAUUGAUUGAGAGUCAACUAUAUUGAAUGAGAAUUUAUUUGGUUUGACUGAAUGCUACCGGUCUGACUUAUCUGUUAUAACUGUUUUAACAUAGUCGAUUGGAUUAGUAGCAUAUUCGACUAAGGGAGCCUCUGAUUAACAAAAUUCUAUAAAUAGACAGAACAAUUGUUCUGAGACUUUUGGACAUAUUUUGAUCUAACACUUUCAUAUUCUGUUUCAGAUUGUUCCUUUGGAUUUAUAGAGCUCCAAGAACUCUUCAAGAAGACGGUGGUGAUCUUUCUUGAAGGAGAUUCAAAGGGAGACUGACUGCGUGCUCAUUGCUUGAUCACAUAUCUGCACAUUGAGGUGUCUUUAGGUUUAUCAAGAUUCAUAUUGGCAUCCGUGGUGAUUGCUGUUGGUACCUGUUGUGAUUAUAGGGGAUAGACUCGUGGAGUCUUGUUUACUUUGAGGACUGUUCAAAAUGGUUUUGCAGAUUGCAGGAGAGGGAACAUCUUGCUGCAAGUUUUGCUAGGUUGUUUUGGCUAUAUUUUGGUUAGAGGGUUAGAGAGGAGAUUUAUAUUUUUGACGUGGAGGUCUUCUAUAAAUUCUUUGUUGUAAAAACAUUGAUCAUUAUAGUGCAAUUGCUUCCUGGUAUUAGAAGGACACUGGAUGUAGGCAUUGAGGCCGAACCAGUAUAAAAACCAGUGUUUGAAUUUCUCUAUUUCUGAACUUUUACUUAUAAUCAACUUUACUUUCUGCGCAGUCAUCUACAUUUUUCUGUUGCAUACGAAUUUUCAUUACUUGCAAUUCAAGAAAGUUUGUAAAGUUUUUUACUUUGAUUUAAAGAUUGCAAAAAGAUUAUGAUUUUGAAAACUCACCAAUUCACCCCCUUUUGGUGUAAAAAUAAGCCUACCUGUUUUCUAACACAAGAGAGUUCAAUAGCUACAUAUACCCCAAACAAGAUAGGUUUAACUUUCUAUUUCCAUGGAGAGUUUUAAAGCUUACAAAAAUGGAUGAUAGACGAAGAUGGAGACCCAAAGAAAGAGAAGAGGAUGUUCCCACAUGCCCCAUGCGGAGUUGUGCAUUUGGUCAGAGCGACGUGAUGUUGUACAGAGAUGGGGUGGAAGGAGAUGCCAUCACAAAAUGAAAGAAGAAGAUGGAAGGGCGAACCAAAUCCCUAAUUCAAACAUCUUUUGGUUAAUUAAUUUUUCCCAAUUUCUUUAAUUUCAAAAAAACAAAAAUCCCUUAUACAUGUUUAACAACUUGCCAUGUCAAUUAAAACAACCAGCAUGCUAAGUCAGCCUCUUUCUAUUGUGUUGAUCCCAUUUAACGUAAAAAUCUAAUUGGAACAAUUUUUACAAAAAUAAAAAUUUAAUUAAAACGAAAAAAAUUAAGAGACCUACUUUAAAUUUUCAGUUCAAAUAGAAACCAGAUUAAACUUUUCGUAAAUUAUCUUUAAUAGUAUACUGCUGAUGAUGAUAAGAUUUUAACUAAUAUUUUUAGAAUUAUAUAUUCAAUGAAGUUGAAUUAUUUCCGUUCAUUAAAGAUAAACAAUUUUCCUAAUUUAUGUUCAAAUUUGCCUUGUGAAAAAUUUGACGUAUUUAUUUAUUUAUUCCGUAACUUAAUUUUCUGUUUAUUUAUAUUUUUGUUUUAAUUUUUUCUUAUAUAUUUUUACAAGAAAAUAUAUAUUUAAUAUUUACUUAAAGUUGACAUUAACUAAAUAAAACACACAUGUAUUAUUCUCUGAAAAAACUGUAGAUUCGGCGACAGAAUUAGGGAGAGCACCCAUCCCAUUUGAAAUCUACAUUUGAAUGCCUGGUCCCAUUAAUUAAUGUAGUGGCGGAACCGAAGCUACCGCAACCACGGAGUCAACAGUCACUGUCAUUUUUAUUUUUGUUUUAUUCUUCUGACCUAGUCAUCCCAUAAUACUCAACCUCUGCUUCUUUGUAUAAGGGACUGACUGGUACAGUAUAUUAUUAUGCUAAAUAUAUAGGUUUGAUGGAUAGUAGCCUUGGAACACCACAAUUCAGAUCAUCACACUGCACAGCAUAGGUACCAUAUUUCCUCUUUCUCUCUUCCUUCUUCUUCUUCAUUGUUGGCCAAAUCUUCAUCUCUACAUUAUGCCCUAGUCAUAAUCCCUCACUCUUUAACUGUAAGAUUAAAACAUAUAUAAAGCUUUAAUUAUACUUUUGUGCUAAUAUUCAGCCUUUUUAUGCUGUUUUCUUUAAAUAAAUUACACUUUUGUCACAAAAAUAUAUUUAAUCUGUUUUCUUUCAAUUUACCUUUGAUUGAUAGGAGAAUUCAGCAGUACUAUUAUUUUAUGACGCAGAUUGCAGAUUUAAACACGGAAGGAGAAAUUAAAGCUAAAAAGCUUUUGCAAUGACCUUUGAGUCGUUGACUACGUGAUCUAAGUCAAGAUAUACAAUGUGGAUGAGUUUCUACUUUGCUGUUUUAGCUGUUCUACUUAUCCAAGCUCGUGCUUAACCAGGUUCGUUCAAGCAUUUCUUUUGUCAAACAAUGUCAUUGUAUCUUUAUUUAUUUAUGCUUUGCUAAAAUAAUAGAAAAUAAAGAUAUAAAAGAGAAAAAAGAAUUGAUACAUCAUAAUCAUAUUGGAAGUCAUGUUUUCUUUUCUCUUUUCUAUCAAUUCAAUCAACCAAAUUUAAUUUAGUUUUCAUCUGUUUUUUUUUUUCUUUCAUCUCGUGCUUUCUUUAUGUUGAAACUAACGUCUAAAAACUUAUUAAAUGGAACAGCUAGAUUUUUGAAAGAUAAAUGGGUGAUUCAUGUGAAUAAAUUAACUUAAGAAUAAAACAAAAAAUCAAUUAAUUGGUCUUUUAGUUGGUGAGAGGUUUCUAGUUUAAUUCUUAAAAAGCUGAUUUAGUUUAUAAAUAUAUAAAAAGACUCCUAUACAAAGCUAUUUUAUCAUUAAAAUAUUAUUUUAAAGACUAAUUUGGUACUGAUUCACUAUUUUGUAUUUUGUUUUUGUCAUAAGUUGUUUAAAGACUAAAUUUUUAAUAUCUCACACAUUCUUCAACCAAAACUUCUCCUCAUAGAUAAGUAGGAUAUAGUGUAUUUAUAGACAUCAUCCAUUAUUAUUAUUAUAUGAGAUUGCUUUUAUUACAAAAAUAUACAAUUUUAGGAAAAUCCCUGUAAGCUAUAGAAAAUCACGGGGGUUUUGACUACCAACUCCAACUCGAACUCGGCGCUUCCACCAUGGAUCUUGAGUAUUUGACUCUUUCACCACAAGUAUCAAGAUCCAACUGUUAGAAGUGGAUUUUUAGGCCUAACUCAACUCCACAAAACAACUUCCAACACACUCCCCUCACUAAUAUAUACCGCAAUUUUUUUUAAUUUUAUCUAUUAUAAAAAAAUCAAAAGUAAUUUUAAAUAAUACAAUAUCAUAUUAUUUAUGAUAAAAUUUAUUUUCUAGUAUAAAAAAUUGAACUUGCGAGAACACUUAUAUGGAACAUUAUACAUGUUCCUCGAAGUGUUUCAGAACUUGAUUCUGUUGGUGCUGCAAUUCUUGGUCUGCAAUAUAUUAUAAUAUCUAUGUUUAAUAAUUGAAGUUUUUGUGCUAAUAGAUGAUAAAAAUAUCUCCACAUGAGUAUUCAAAGAUAAAAUUUAUGAUAGCAUAUGUAUUCAUAAUAUGCAAAUAAUAAACAACGAUUAUUUUAAUAUUUAUUUAUAAACCAUAGGUAACAGAUAUAAAUAUUAUAUUAUUCUUACUAGUAGAUGUUUAUUAUUUAAAAAAAUUAAUUUAUAUUUUAUUGGGUUAAAUUUAAUUAAAAUUUGAUUUGUAUUAUAUUUUAUAUUUUUUAAUUCUUAUUUAAAUUUUAUUUUAAAAAUUUAUAAAAUACUUUUUCUUUUCAAAAUAUCAACAGAUAUUCACAUCUAUAUAUUUUAAAAUAUUCGUAAAUAUUUUUAAAUUGAUGUCUAACCGUGAUUGAUUAGUAAUUUUUUUUUUGUUAUAAAUCGAGUAAUAAAUAAAUACAAUCCGAUAUACUCUCAUUUAAUUCAGUGUUUUUAUGUUGUUUUCUUUAAAUGGAAUACACUUUGGUCACACAAAUAUAUUUAAUCUGUUUUAUUUCAAUUUAUCUUUGAUUGAUAGAUCGAGAACUCAGCGGUAUUAUUAUUUUAUGAUACAUAUUACAGAUUUAAAUACGGAAAGAGGAAUUUAGGCUUGCAAUUAUCUUUUAGUCGUUGACCACGUGAUCUAAGUCAACAUAAACAAUGCGGAUGAGUUUCUACGUUGCUGUUUUAGCUGUUCUACUUAUGCAAGCUCAUGCUGAUCAACAAGGUUCGAUGAAGCAUUUCUUUUGUCAAAUAAUUUCAUUAAUAUCUUUAUUUAUUUCAAAGUCUUAUGCUGUGCUAAAAUAAUAGAAAAUAGGAGAUAUAAAAGAGAAAAAAAAAAUUUAUACAUCAUAACCAUAUGGGAAGUCAUGUUUUUUUUGUCUUUCUUUUUAUCAAUUCAAUCAACCAAAUAUUGUUUAGUUUUCAUUUUUUUCUUUCAUCUCAUGCUUUCUUUAUGUUGAAACUAAAGUCUAAAAAAAUAUUAAAUGAGUGAUUGAUGUGAAUAAAUUAACUUAAGAAUAAAAAAAAAUCAAUUAAUUAAUUAAUCUUUUAAUUGGUGAGAGGUUUCUAGUUUAAUUCUUAAAAAACUGAUUUAGUUUCUAAAUAUAUAAAAAGACUCCUAUACAAAACUGUUUUAUCAUUAAAAUAUUAUUUUAAAGACUAAUUGAAAAACUAUUUUACCAACAAACUAGGAUAUUUAAAAACUAAUUUGUUUUUUUGUCAUAAGUUGUUUUAUAGACUAAAUUUUUAACAUCCCACACAUCCUUGAACCAAAACUUCUCAUUUAGCAAAAGAUUAUAGAUAAAUAAGGUUAGGCAGGCAGCAAUAUGAAAAAGAAACAGGAGACAAUUACAUGGAACUCUUAAACAAAUGCAAUGGUAUUAAUUUGUAUGAAUAUUCGUCUAAAAAUUUGUAACAACUUUAACAGUAAUAAAUGCAAUUUUUGUUGGUGUAGAAAAUUCUCUUUUAUUGAAAGUAACACUUGGAUAGAAACACCGAGGUCAAACACAACACUGAGAAACUCUCUGACACUAAAAAACUCACUCUUAGAACACAAAGACAGCCAUUCUCUCCUUACUCUCUUUCUCUCGGUGCACACACUCUUCUUUGUUUUCCUUACACACAAUCAUGACCAUUUGCUCUCUAUUUUCUCCUUCACGGUGUUGUUCACUCCACUUUCACCUUCGUGGCUUUAUAAGAAAACAACCAGCCAUCACAAUCACACCAUCCGGACCACCACAUCACUGCCAAUUGAAGUUUUGGGGAGAAGAAAAAGCCUGAGGGGGAAAACCUUGCACUUACAAACAAGGACUUUUUUCUUCUUUUGCAAUUAUUGAACUGUGUGGCAUUUAAUGUUUAUUCCACCAUUUCAUGUUCUAGGAUUCAUCAGCAUAGAUUGUGGAGCUGAAGAAGGUGUGAACUAUAAGGAUUCAACAUAUGGCAUAAAUUACGUUUCGGAUGCAGAGUUCAUAAAUACAGGUGUUAGUGAGACAAUAGCAUCUGAAGUGAAGAGCAAAGAAAAUCAACAACAACUGUGGACGCUGAGAAGCUUCCCGGAAGGAAAAAGAAACUGCUACAAAAUAAGCGUCACAAGAGCCUCUAAAUAUUUCGUCCGCACUAGUUUUCUGUACGGCAAUUAUGAUGGCCGAGAUAUGUUACCACAGUUUGAUCUUCUUCUGGGACCUAACCGCUGGGAUACAGUCACUAUACUCAAUGCAGCCACGGUCCAACACAAGGAGAUCAUACAUGUAACUUCAAUGGAUUAUGUGCAAAUCUGUCUGGUUCACACAGGCAAUGGCACACCAUUUAUAACAGUCAUAGAAUUCAGGAUUUUGAAAAAUGAUACAUACGUCACUCAAUUCGGAACAAUGGAACUUUACAAUUACCUGCGCUGCGAUUUGGGUUCAGACACAACCUACAGGUGAAAUCAUACUUAUAGAUUAAAUGUAUUGCCUUAUAAGAAUGAUUAUUGGAUUUAUUCUGAUUUUCUCACAGGUACCCGGCUGAUGUUUAUGAUCGUUACUGGUAUGGUCGUUCUUCCUGGGACGCCUGUAACUUCGACGAAAAUUGGAAACCACUAAGUGCCUCCAUUCCCGAUUAUUUUUUAAAUGAGACUGAUUACAUGCCGGGAGCAACUAUCAUGAGAACCGCAGUUGAACCACAAAAUGAUAGUGCUCCGUUGGUAAUAAGGUUGGAGCCACAACAUGAAACUGACCUAUUCUAUGUGUACAUGCACGUCACGGAAAUUCAAGUGUUAACCACGAAUCAGACAAGACAAUUCAACAUCAUGAUGAACGCUGAUUCAUGGUAUCUAAAUUGUUCUCCAGUGUAUCAUGGAAUGAUUACUAUAUAUUCGAAGUUAGCCAUCAGUGGGAAAGAAAUUAAAUUUUCCCUCGAGAGGACUGAAAAUUCAACCCUCCCUCCCAUCAUCAGUGCCAUUGAAAUUUACAGAGUAAUAGACUCACAGAACCCAGAAACAUUCCAAGGAGAUGGUAUUUUUCAUUUUUUAAAUCCAUUUAUUUUGUUUACACUUUCAUACAUGAACUUAACUACCUUCUAUUCUAUCCCUCUUUUUUGCACUGAAAAAAAGUUGAUGCGCUUACAAGCAUCAAGUCAGUUUAUGGAGUGAAAAGGGAUUGGGAAGGUGAUCCAUGCACCCCUGCAGCCUACUUGUGGGAUGGUCUCAACUGUACUUAUCUCGGCAAUGAGUUCCCAAGAAUCACAGCUUUGUAAGUCAUGUUUGCCAAAUUAUUAUUAUACCUUCAUAAAACUAAUUAAGAUCACAUCGUAUAUAACUAUUCAUUGAGCAAAACAGGAAUUUAUCGUCAAGUGGAUCAUCAGGAAAGAUUGACCCUUCAAUCUCAAACCUUACCAUGUUGGAGAAGCUGUGAGUUUUCUUUUUCUCUUGUUUCUUUUAUUUCACCCGACAGAAAAAUCUCGUUAUAAAUCUUUUUACUGUUUUCGUUAUGUACUUAUUAUUUGUGAAGAAUGGACAUAUCUUUUCCUACUUGAGUCGAGAUUUAAACAUAGUUAAAAAGGCUAAAUUAUUUGUUUUCCAGGGAUUUAUCUAACAAUAGUUUAAAUGGUGAAGUUCCUGAUUUUCUGUCUCAAUUACAACACUUGAAGAUCUUGUAAGUUACUUCAUUUACUCAAACACUAUAUACGUGAUGGGAUCCUCUAUCUGAUACUAGAAAACCAUAUUUUUUUAGAAACUUAGAGAAGAAUAACCUCUCCGGUUCAAUUCCCUCUGCACUUGUUGAAAAAUCACGCCAAGGUUCUCUCUCACUAAGGUGUGAAUCUGACUAAAAACUCUCAAAUUCAUAAUAUGAUUAUUUAUGCUGAGGAUUAUUAAUUACUUAUGUUCAAGGCAGUGUUUGAGAUUUAUAUAUACAUGACCCACUCAAUUUCUAAGCACAACCAAAAUAAGUUGAAGAAUGUAUUUAAAUUAUGAAUUAAUUAUUUGUAAGGUUUACUUAGACUUGAAACAUAAUUUUUCUGUGAUUUCCAUGCUAGUGUGGGUCAAAAUCCAUAUCUAUGUGAAUCUGGGCAAUGCAACGAGAAGGAAAAGAAAAACAUUGUCACACCCAUAGUAGCAUCAAUAUGUGGGGUUCUAAUUCUUGUAAUAGCCGUUGCUAUAUUGUGGAUCCUUAAAAGGAAAAAAUCAAAAGGUAAUGCUGAAGUAACUACGAAAAGUUUGUAUUUUCUAUUAACAAUUUACCAAAAGAUUACCUUGUUAACCUAUUAUCUUUCAAAAUGAAGCUGAAAAAUUUACAGAUUCGGUGGCAGUAAAUCAUCAGAGUGAGAUUUCACAGCAAUCCACAGAAAAGGAUAAUUCGUUCCAGCAACGCAAAAGUCAAAUGUAUUCAUACUAUGAUGUCCUUCAAAUCACUAACAAUUUCAAUAGAAUUAUUGGUAAAGGAGGAUCUGGAACAGUUUACCUGGGCUUUAUCGAUGAGACUCCAGUUGCAGUGAAAAUGCUUUCCCCAUUAGCAGUUCAUGGUUAUCAACAAUUUCAAGCAGAGGUAUAAGUUAUUAAUCAAUUUAUUUUAGGUUUCUGACUUUGUUACCGAACCUAUACGGUUUAACGUAGUUGUGACUUUUAUUUCAAGGUUAAACUUCUACUCAGAGUUCAUCACAAAAAUUUGACAUCCCUUAUUGGUUACUGUAACGAAGGAACCAAUAAGGGNCUCAUAUAUGAGUACAUGGCUAAAGGGAACUUACGAGAACAUCUCUCAGGUUGGUUACGAAUAAAAUUAUUUUGUUCUUAAAAGUUUGUGUAAUCAAUUUCCAAGUUAGAUUUGAUUUCUGAAACUCUUGAGAUGGAAUUUUUAAUAUUGGAGAACUGUAUGAGUCGUAUGAAUAAGUUCUACCGAACACAAACAAACAUGCAUAGAAUAGAAAGUUAUAGUAGUUGUUCUUGUAGGUAAACACAGCGAAUCACCAUUCUUGAGCUGGAAGGACAGACUUCGUGUUGCACUGGAUGCAGCCUUAGGUUAGAAAGUAAACUUGAAUUUUUGAAUUUAUGUCAACUCCCUUUACCCUUUUAAGACGUUUUCCGUAAUUAUAAAUCUAAUAUCAGGAUUGGAAUAUCUGCAAAAUGGUUGCAAGCCUCCUAUAAUCCACAGAGAUGUGAAAUCUACAAACAUCUUGUUGGACGAACACUUCCAAGCAAAGUUAUCUGAUUUCGGUCUAUCCAAAGUCUUCCCAGAUGAUGGGGGAUCUUAUGUGUCAACUGUUGUUGCUGGCACUUUCGGUUACCUGGACCCUCAGUAAGUACUUUAGUUAUUGUUCUUUCCAUCAUUUUCUUGGAGAAUAUAAGGAGAUUUUCUACCUUAAUAUUUGAGUUAUCAUCACAAAAUCACAAAGAAUAAAUAAUUUAGGUUUCAUGACUUCUCUUGCAGCUACCACUCUUCCAAUAGAUUAACACAGAAAAGUGAUGUUUAUAGCUUUGGAGUUGUUCUCUUGGAAAUAAUCACAAAUCAACCAGUAAUUGUUGGGAAUGAAGUAAAGGUUCACAUAAGUGAACGAGUUAGCUCCAUGAUAUCAAGAGGGGAUAUCAAGGCCAUAGUUGACUCAAGGUUAGAAGGAAAUUUUGACAUAAACUCAGCAUGGAAAGCCUUAGAAAUAGCAAUGGCUUGUGUUUCUCCAAAUCCCAACGAAAGGCCAAUGAUGAGUGCGGUAGUGAUUGAACUACAGGGGGCUUUAGCGACCGAAUUAGCUAGAACAAACCAUAACAGUGGUGCUGAUCUCAGGUAUUCUGUUGCAUCGGUCAGCGUGGAAGUAGACAGCGAAUAUAAGCCCUUAGCUAGGUAAAUGCUUGCUCAACAUAAGAAUAAAAGAAUAAGUUUGUAACAAGUGAAAGUAAUGUUGUGCAAGAAGUAUGUCAUUGGGUGAUUUUGUUUGAUUAGUUUUCUGAAUCUGUCUUGUUUGGGAGUGGUGAGAGUAGUAAUGUAGAAUGCAUAUUAGUAUACAAAUAAAUAAUGAAAAUUGAAUAAAUGGAAUUGAAGAGCAGUGUUAUUAUCAUUUUUUGUUGGAAUAAAUUUUUAAAACAAUCUAUCUUAUUUUGCCCUUUUAUAUGCAAAGUGAACCAUAAUAAAUGAAGAAAUAAAGCCAAAUAAUGUAAAAUGAUGAAGAACGAGUCCAAUGAUCACGAAAAUAAAUAGGACAGUUUGUCAGAUUUUAAGGAAAUUUCUAAAAACUUAAAUUCUAACCUUGUAAUAAAAUUGUUUUUUAAAAUGUUUAAAAUUUUCUCUCUCGACCUUGUAAACUAACUUAAGGUUCUUUCACCUAUAGAGAAACAUUCUUCUACACUCUGUCAUAGAAACCCUAAUAUAUAUUUUUUCUUUACAAGGUGUUUUUGAUGAAAAUAUUAUAGAUGCAUAAAAACUAUAAUAAAAGAAAUAAAAAUAUUUUUGAGGAUUCUUUCCAUGUAUAUAUAUACUAUCCACCACAGAUAUAUUUAUAACAGAAAAAAUUGACUCAAACAUAACAAUGAUAUUUUUAUAAAAUAUUUGAUUUUUUGAAGCAUAAAAUAGCAUAUAUUGUAGCAAUAGUAAAACCCAAUAGCCGUUAAGAAGAACUAAAAUAAUAAAUUACAAUUGAUAAGAUGAGCACAAUUACAAUUACAGAGCACAAUUACAUCGAACUCUCAAACAAGUGUAAUGGUAGUAGUAAUUCGUAUGAAUAUAUUCCAUCUUUAAUUAUAUUUAAUUAUCUAUAAGUUUGUAGCAACUUUAACAGUAAUAAAUGCAGUUUCUGAUGGUAUCAAAAAAUAUAUUUUUAUUGAAAAUUACACUUUUCAUGAAAACUGGAUACAAACAUAACAACGAGGAUCUCACGACACUGAAAAACUCAACUCACAUGCUUAGAAUACAAACACAGCCACUUGCACUGUAUUGUUCUCUACAUUCACUUAAUUAGAGUUAAACUCGGCCCUUCCACUCUCUCCUUGCUCUUUUUGUCUCGGUAGACACACUCUUCUUGUUUUCCUUACACACAACCGUGACCCCUUGCUCUUUAAUUUCUCCUUCAUGGUGUUGUUCACUCCACUUUUAUAAGAAAACAAUCAGCCAUCAUAGUCACAUCAUCACUAUGCGGACCACCACAUCACUGCCAAUUGAUGUUUUGGGAAGAAGCAAGAGCUGUUACGAUGGAAAACUUUGCGCUUGCAAACAAGGACUUUCUUCUUCUUUUGCAAUGAUUCAAAUUUGGUGGAACUCAUUUAAAGUUUAUUCCACUAAACUCUUCUAUAAACUUAAAUGUAUCUUUUAUUCUUCAUCCCAACUUGCCAGGUGCACUGGUUCCUCUUCCAAUUGUUGAUUGGUUACUCUUUGAUCAUGUGCAGUUACUUCUGUUUUCCAUAGAACACAUAAAUCAUCACAUAUGCUGACCUUGAUGCUAUUACUAACUAUUGUAGCUUCAACUCUUUUUUUUUAUUUCUUCUUCCUUAUUGUGACUAUCCCCACACUUGUUGCACAUCCUUCUUCCCUCAACAUCAUCGUUUUGGUUUAUGUUUCCACACACUUUGUUCUCAUUUACCUCCUGAGUUGUGUUUAUUAUUUCAAAAAUUCGGCUUGGUAGGUGACUUCACCAUGGUGGUUUUCCUUGCUAACAUGUGUAAGUUCCUAUUUCAGAUCGUUUUGUGCCAAUUCCCUCCAUAUCUAGUUCUCCAUGCUGAUAUUUUUCACUCUAUCUUGAAGCAUAUUCAAUUGAGCUUUACUAGACGUUGAAUUUCCUCAUCUUUUUCUUAGAGUUUCUUCCCCACAGCCUCCUUUGUCACCUUCACUAACAUUCUUGAUUGCCUCAUUGUUCAUCGAGUUUCGUCCACACACUCUCUUAUCGUGCUUUAGCUUUGUAAUUUCCAUCUCAAGGUUCAUCAUCGUCAAUGACAUGACCUCAUCCAUCUUUUCUGCCUCACGCGAUUGCACCACCUCUCACUACAUCUCCUCAAUCCUCAUGUUCUUUGCCACACCUUCGCUUCAUAAAUUGUCAAUAUCCGCCUUUAGCUGCUUGAUCUCCUCCUUCCUUGUCGUUCUCUCGUUAAUUAGUUUAUCACGCUCUUGUUGCAACUUUGCGAUUUUCGUCGUUGAUUCCUUCUAUUUCCUUCAUUUUUAUACUCUCCAACUCUCCCUCGAGUGUUUGAAGUUUGACUUAUUUCACUAUGUUAUCUCCCUUAUACGUUUUCUCCAUAAUGUCUCACGCUUCUUUUGAAGAUUUUUACUUGCAAUCUUCUCAAAGCACACUCAUUAACAUCUCAGUAGAACAUGCACAAAGUUGUCUUGUUCUUCACAAGUGCUUCUUUCAACGCAUUAUUUUGGGUAUUCAUAAGCCUAACAGUGCUUUCUGAUUCUACAAAACCAUCAUCAACAACCUCCCAAAUGUCUUGGGAGGUAAGAAGGGCCUUCAUCUAGAUACUUCAGUUGUAGCAAUUGACCACCUUUAUCAACCUGGACAUGGACAUCCUGUUUGUAAUGUUAGACAUCUCAUUAUUUUUUUUUUUCAAACUUUAAAGGGAGGCAGGGUGGGGUUUUGAAUAAAGUUUGAAAAUCAUUUUGUAAUUAGUGCUAGACGUUGUUUGCAGGAGUUAGACGGUCUGCAGACAGUGUUGAACACUUAAGGUUUUCAUGAAAGUGUUUAGAAACAGAAAAAGAGAGCAAAGAUGAAAACUUGUUUUUAUACUCAUUCACUCCAACUGAAUUACGUCUAGUUCUCCUUUAAACACUUUUAAAGGGUUCCACUAAUUUUGAAAAGUUACAAAGAGUAUCAACAUUCUUGGUAUUAAAUACUCCAACUGACUAAAACAUUUAACUCUCCUUGAGUUAAACAACCAAAUGUUUUAAAUAACUUCUGAUUAUCCAAAAAUAGUAAAGUGUUUUUAAAUCAAGUGUAGAUAAAAAGCUCUCUUGGAGAUGAUAUUGAUCCGUACGAAGUAUAUUUGAAAAUACUUUUUACAUAGAUUUUCUCAAAGGCUAGACGACGUAAUAACAAGAGAAUUUUGGCAGUGUAAUAAUAUAUUCAGGUUGUUCUUCUCUUCUUCAUGCGAUCUUCUUUAUAUAAGCAACUUCAAGAAAGAUACAUUACUUGAAAACAUUUACUUUGAUGUAGGUGUUGUAGCCUUUUGUACCAGGUCAGACACUACUUUGCUUUUGCAAAAGAUAUUGUUAUGCUUGUAUAGAUAUGGCACAAAAGACAUUGAAGAAACAUUCCUAAAGUAUCUUCAUAUCUUUUAACGUUCUUUUGAAUCACAUAGAACUUUUCAAUAAAGCAUUUGUCCUUAUAUGAUCUCCAUAGAUAAACAAUAGAUAAAAUGUAUUAUCUGUACAUUGCAAUUAAAGCGUUAGACAUUUAUAAUAGCAUUAGUGGAGUCUGUUUAUAACAACAUUUAUGCUAGUAUGUUCUCCUUAACGUUUAGAAUAGGUAUUGCAUUUAGGACAUUGUCUAGAUAUAUAUUACAUUUAAUGCUUUAUCCUAAAUGGUUUUUUUAUAGACAAUAUUUCGUUAAAUGCUCUUAGUUAAACUUUAAAAUAAAGGUUGCUAGUAAGAUCUACUUGUUGAUAUCGAAAAAUAUAUUUACAUAAAUACUGGGUAUUGAGAGACUCGCGAUCAAACUCACAUUCUUAGAACACAAACACAGCCACUCACGGUGCACUCUUCUCUACACUCACAUAGAGAGAGACAAACACAGCCUCUCCACUCUCCUUUACAAUUACCUGCGCUGCGAUUUGGGUUCAAACACAACCUAGAGGUGAAAUCAUACUUAUGGAUACAUCACUCAAUUUUACAAGAAAAUAUAUUUUACAAGAAAAAUGAUGCAUACAUCACUCAAUUUUACAAGAAAAUAUAUUUUUGGUAGGAUUUAGGUUGUAACUUGUAAGUGUGUACAACUCUAAAUAGGGAAAACAGUAGUUAAUGAAAAUGAUUGAAAAAAGUGUGGAUAAAAAAAGACAAGUUUAAGAAGAUUUAGGAAUAUGGGUGAAAGAGAUGUGUAUAAAAAAAGAAUUAUAUAAGAAGUGACAGAAAAACUGUGAAUGAGAAUAUUUAUUAUCUUUAAAUUUAUAUUAUUAAAAUAAAAAAAGUUACAAUUUUUAUUUAUUAUUACUAAAAUGCAUAUAUUCAUAAUAUAUAAGGGUAUGUUAAUCUUGUUUAUUUUAGUUAGUAUUGGUUUAACAUAAAUAUUUUAAUUUAUUAAAAAUAGUUAGUAUUGCUAUUAGCUUCUAAUAAUAUUAGCGGUGUAGCUAAGUGGAUGUUAAUUUAAUAUUGAUAUAAAUAUUUAUUUAUUAAAAGAUUUAAAAAUAAUUUUCUAUUUUUUUAAUUUUAUUUUUAUUUUUUUUGCGUUAAUCAAAUUAUGACAAAGUUGACCUUAUUAGGUUUAAAUUAAACGGAUUGUAGUAAUGUUACGUUGUAUUAUAAUACGAAUAUUUAUUUAUUAUAAAAAGUUAAAAAAAUUAUUUUUUUCCACUCUUUUUUAGAAAAUAGCCUUUUACAUCAUGUUAAAGUUUGAAUUGCCUUACACUAAUAUUUAAAAGCUAAUUUGAUAUUAUCUUACAUUUUCUUCAAUGCUUUGUUUAUCAACUUUGUAUCAAUAUGCGAGAGAUGUUAUAUUAGUCAAAAUUGAAAUCUUAAGCAUCGAAAAACGAAACAGAGGAUCAGCUUGGUGUAAUAGAGGUACCACAGGGAAUAAAAGUGAAACUUUUAAAUUCAAGAGACAAAACUGAAGAAAAAAAAAAUGUAAUUGACAAUAACAUUAUAUUUUAGUCAAAGUGGCAACAUAUCCCUCAAAUAUUUGUCAUUGUACAGAAUGUCGAUGAGUUUCUCGUUGCUUUCCUUGGUGCUAUGCUUGUUCAAGCCCAGGAUCAAUGAGGUUUGAUGAAGCAAAAACAUAAUCUGCUUCAGUUAAAUAAUAUUUUGAGGUCUAAGAUCUUCAUUAUAUUAGAUCCUGAAGUUAAUGAGAAAACAAUAGAAGAAGGUAAAUGGUGGUUUUUUUUUUUUUAAAAAAAAAAAAUCGCAAUGGAAUGUUUUACAAAUAAAAUAUCUAAGACCUUGUUCACUUGAGUAGAUUUGAGGGAGAGUAAUUGAGAGGAUUUGAUGAUAAUUUUUUUUAUUGUCUAUUUGAAUAAAUUUGGAGAUAAGUGAGAGUGAAUUUGGAAAUAAUUUUUUUUAAUCUGUCAUAUAAAUUAAAUCCUACACUAAUUCUCACAAAUUUCACUUCCAAAUCUAUUCUCAGUUACCUCCAAAUCUAUUCAAAUAAACAACAAAAAAAAUAUCUUUAAAUCCUCUCAAUUACUCUCUCCCAAAUCCACUUAAGUGAAUAAGGCCAAGGUUUUUGAGACAUUUAAACACUAGUUGUUAUAAUAUAAGUAAGUUGACAAUGUUUAAAAUAAGAGAAGAGUAAAUUGCACAUUUUUAUUUAAGAUCUAAUCCUAGACAACUGUCUAAACGUUUAAAUAAACCUGAGUUGAACAACUAAAUAUUUGAGUUCUCUUCAAAGUUUACAACAAAUUCACAAUAAAAUUUAUAACAAGGUAUAAAUGAUUAACUCUCUAUGAAAGGAUAUGUUUGUAACAUACAAUUUAUAAUACUUGAAAGUGUUUCUCUUAUUCAUUAGAAAACUUAAGACGAUUAUGCACAAAGAUAAUAACGAGAAAAUAUAAUCAUAUUCACUUUUUUAUGUUUCUUGUCUUCUCUUUGUACAUCUAACUAUUUAUAGCUUUCUCAAGAAUAUACCUAUUGAAUAUUGAGUUGAUUUCAAGUAGAUUAGGUUGAUAACCCUUUUCCUUCCAAGUCUGACUCCUUUUAAAUAUUCCUUUAAGAUUAUCUGACUUUGAAUAUGCUAAAGCCAAAAGUAGCCAACUCUGUACACAAACCAACAUCAUCUCUUACAAACAAGUAAUAUAUUAGAACCUCUUUCUAAAUUUUCUCAUUUGUGAAUUACAGUAUAUUUUUUUUCCAAUAAUAAUAAUGAGUUAGAAGAUGAGAUUGCAGAUGUUGAAAGGAAAGAAAGGUUAGUUAAGUCAAGUCAUCGUCUGUUUCUUUAUGGCUUCUACCAGUGCAACAUAUUUUAGGGAGUUUUCUACUGGAAAGGACAAAGUGUUGCCAUUGUUAAAUACUAUUCAUCAUAAAGCAUAUUAAACCACUCUCCAUAUCCAUUAUAUAUAAAAAAAACAUGCCUUUAGAAGGAAUAACAUAUUAGCUGCAGAGAAAAGGCUUCCCGAACAGAUUACACAAUAUGUUUACUUUAUAUAUAGAGGUUAAAUACAUUUUUAAUUUUUUAAUUUUAAGUAAAAACUUUUUUGAAACUUUAAACCAAUUUAUUUUUCGUAUAAAUUUAGUUAUUUUAAUUAAUUUUUUAAAAAAUUUAUCUUAAUUAACAUUAAAAUAGAAAUAUAUCAAAUAAAAUAAAUAAUUAGAAUAUUAUCAUAAAACGUAUUUAAAAAGUUAAAUAAAAUGAUAGAAUUAAGUUAAAAAGAUCUAUGUAUUUUAAAAAUAGAGAGUCUAAUUAGAUAAAAAUUUUGAAGAGAGCUAUUCUCAAUUUCCGAGUAAGAGAGAAAAACAUAUUUAAAAUAUAUAUAUAUAUAUAUAUAUAUAUAUAUAUUUAAAUUUUUUUAAAUAAAGAUUUAAAAUUUAAACUUAAAUAAAAAUAAUAUUUAUAUAUAAUAUAGAAUAUAUUUUUAUUUUAAAAAUAUAUUUUAAAUUAUACAUUUUAAAAAUAUAUAAUUAUAAGAUAUAAAAUUAUAAAAUAAUAAAAAUUCAAAUUAUAAUUUUAUAAUUGAUAAUUUUUUUAAUUUUUAAUUUUAAUUUAAAUAAUCUGCCGUAUCUAGUGGUUUUAGUGCAUCAUAAGGUUAGGUUUUGACGUCAGUCGUGGAACUGAAGCUAGCGUGCAACCGUAACCAGAGUCAACAGUCAUUGUCUUUUCUUUUUUUUUUUUUUUUGUUUUUUAUCUGACCUAGUCACUCCAUAAUACUCAACCCCGACUUCUUUGUAUAAGCCACAAACUCUCAUUAUCAUAUUAAAUAUAUAGGUUCGAUGGAUGGUAAGGUGAGUGUAGUAGCCUUUGAAGAAAUUCAGAUCACUGCACUGCAUAGGUAUCAUAUAUUUGCUCUUUCUUCUUCCUUCUUCUUCAUACAUAUGCAGCUUUCUUGUUGGCCAAAUCUUCAUUUCUACAUUUUCAUGCUCUAGUCAUAAUCCCUCACUCUUUAACUGUAAGAUUAAAACACUUAUGAAAACACUUAAAUAAAAAAUUAUCUGUUGAUGCUGCAAUUCUUGGUCUGCAUAUAUCAGAAUAUUUAUGCUUAAUCAUUGAAGUUUUUGUGCUAAUAUUCAGCCUUUUAAGGCUGUUUUCUUUAAGUAAAUUACACUUUGGUCACAAAAAUAUAUUUAAUCUGUUUUAUUUCAAUUUACCUUUGAUUGAUAGGGAAUUCAGCAGUACUAUUAUUUUAUGACGCAUAUUGCAGACUUAAACACGGAAAGGGAAAUUAAAGCUAAAAAACUCUUGCAAUUACCUUUGAGUCGUUGACUGCGUGAUCUAAGUCAACAUAUAAAAUGUGGAUUACUUUCUACGUUGCUGUUUCAGCUGUUCUAUUUAUUCAACUUCAUGCUCAACCAGGUUGGUUCAAGCAUUUCUUUUGUUAAGAAAUUUCAUUAUGUCUUUAUUUCAAAGUCUUAUGCUGUGCUAAAAUAAUAGAAAAUAAGAGAUAUACAAGAGAAAACAAAAUUUAUACAUCAUAACCAUAUAGGAAGUCAUGUUUUUUUUUUCUCUUUUCUAUCAAUUCAAUCAACCAAAUUUUGUUUCGUUUUCGUUUAUUUUUUUUUGUUCAUCUAGUGCUUUCUUUAUGUUGAAACUGAAGUCUAAAAACUAAUUAAAUGGAACAGCUAAAUUUUAAAAAGAUAAAUGGGUGAUUGAUGUGAAUAAAUUAACUUAAGAAUAAAACAAAAUUAAUUAAUGGAUCUUUUAAUUGGUGAUAGGUUUCUAGUUUAAUUCUUAAAAAACUGAUUAGUUUCUAAAUAUAUAAAGAGACUCCUAUACAAAACUAUUGUAUCAUUAAAAUAUUAUUUUAAAGACUAAUUUAGUACUAAUUCGAAAAUUAUUUUACCAACAAACUAGAAUAUUUAAAAACUAAUUUUUUUUUCAUAAGUUGUUUUAAAGACUAAAUUUUUAAUAUCACACAUUCUUGUAUAUGAAAGAGAAACAGAGCACAAUUGCAAUAUGUAGGAUAUUUCUCUUUCAAUGAUGAGGGUAGGAUAUAGCGUAGACAGCAAUAUGAAAGAGAAACAGAGCACAAUUGCAUUCAACUCCCAAACAAGUGUAAUGGUAGUAAUUUGUAUGAAUAUUCUAUCUUUAUUAAUAUUUAAUUUCUAGAAAUUUGAAGCAACUUUAACAGUAAUAAAUGCAAUUUCUGUUGGUAUGAAAAAUAUCUUUUUAUUAAAAAUAACACUUUUACAUAAAUAUUGGGUGCAAAGACAAUACUGAUAAACUGACGACAGUAAAAAACUUCCCACUCUUUAUAACACAAAAUAGAGUCACUCACACUGCACUCUUGUCUACAUUCACUUAGAGGCAAACUCAGCCUCUUCACUCUCUCCUUGCUCUCUUUGUUUUGAGUCACACACUCUUCAGAUCAUCACUAUCCAGACCACCACAUCACUGCCAAUUGAUGUUUUCGCAAGAAGCAAAAGCUGCUGAGGUGGAAAACUUUACAAUUGCAAACAAGCACUUUCUUCUUUUUUUUGCAAUAUUUAAACCGUGUUGACCCAUUUAAAGUUUACUCCUCAAUUUCAUUGUUCAAGAAUUCAUCAGCAUAAAUUGUGGAUCUCAAGAAGGUUAUACUGACCCGUUACUAAUAAAUUACGUUUCGGAUGCGGAUUUCAUAAAUACUGGUGUGAGUGGGACAAUAUCAUCUGAAGAGAACAGCAGAUACAAUACUCAACGACAACUAUGGACGCUGAGAAGCUUCCCGGAAGGAAGAAGGAACUGUUACAAAAUAAAUGUCACAAGAGCCUCUAAGUAUCUCAUCCGCACUACUUUUCUGUACGGAAAUUAUGAUGGCCGAAAUAUAUUACCACAGUUUGAUCUUCUUAUCGGACCUAACCCCUGGGGUACAGUCACUAUAUUCAAUGCAGCAUUUUCUCAAUUCAAGGAGAUCAUACAUGUACCUUCAAUGGAUUAUGUGCAAAUCUGUCUGGUUCACACAGGCAAUGGCAUACCAUUUAUAACAGCCAUAGAAUUCAGGACUUUGAAAUAUGAUGCAUACGUUAUUCCAUUCGGAUCAAUGCAACUUUACAAUUACCUGCGCUGCGAUUUGGGUUCACACACAAGCUACAGGUGAAAUCAUACUUAUGGAUUAAAUGUGUUGCCUUAUAAUAUUGAUUGUUUUAUUCUGAUUUUCUCAAAGGUACCCGGUUGAUGUUUAUGAUCGUGUCUGGUAUGCUCGUUCUCACUGGUCCGCUUGUAAUUUCGGUGAAAAUUGGAAAUCACUAAGUUCCUCCAAUCCUGAUAAUUUUUUGAAUCAGAAUGGUUACAAGCCAGGAGAGAUCAUGAGCACCGCAGUUGAACCAGAAAACGAUAGUGCUCCGUUGGUAAUAAGCUGGGAGCCACAAAAUGAAACUGACCAAUUCUAUGUGUAUAUGUACUUCACGGAAAUUCAAGUGUUAACCAAGAAUCAGACAAGACAAUUCAACAUUAUGCUGAACGCUGAAUCAUUACUUCAAAAUUUUUCUCCGCGUUACCAAAUUGCCGAUACCAUAAAUGCGACGACAGCCAUCAGUGGGAAAGAAAUUAAAUUUUCCCUCGAGAGGACUGAAAAUUCAACCCUCCCUCCCAUCAUCAGUGCCAUUGAAAUUUACAGAGUAAUAGACUCACAGAACCCAGAAACAUUCCAAGGAGAUGGUAUUUUUCAUUUUUUAAAUCCAUUUAUUUUGUUUACACUUUCAUACAUGAACUUAACUACCUUUUACCCGUCUUUUUGCAUUUGAAAAAAGUUGAUGCAAUUACCAGCAUUAAGUCUGCCUAUGGAAUGGAAUGGGAUUGGGAAGGUGAUCCAUGUGCCCCUGCAGCCUACUUGUGGGAUGGUCUCAACUGUACUUAUCUCGGCAAUGAGUUUCCAAGAAUCACAGCUUUGUAAGUCAUGCUUGCCAAAUUAUUAUUAUUAUAGGUUUAUAAAACUGAGAUGAAAUCUUAUAUAACUAUUCAUUGAGCAAAGCAGGAAUUUAUCUUCGAGUGGAUUGUCAGGAAAGAUUGACUCUUCUAUCUCAAACCUCACCAUGUUGGAGAAGCUGUUAGUUUUCUAUUUCUUUUUGUUUGUUUUAUUUCAUCCGACAGAAAAAUCUCUUGUUUUAAAUCUUUUUACUGUUUCGGUUAUGUACUUGUUAUUUUGUGAAUAAUUGACAUAUCAUUUCCUACAAGACUUGAGAUUUAAACAUAGUUAAAAAGGCUAAAUUAUCUGUUUUCCAGGGAUUUAUCUAACAAUAACUUAAAUGGUGAAGUUCCUGAUUUUCUGUCUCAAUUACAACACUUAAAGACCUUGUAAGUUACUUCAUUUACUCAACAAUUGUAUAGGUGAUCCUUUCUAUCAGAUAAUAGAAAACCAUAUUUUUUUAGAAAGUUGGAAAAGAAUUUCCUCUCCGGUUCAAUUCCCUCUGCUCUUGUUGAAAAAUCACGCGAAGGUUCUCUCUCACUAAGGUAUGAAUCUUAUUAAAAAGUCUCAAAUACAUUAUUUAUGCUGAUAAUUAUUAAUUACUUAUAUUCAAGGCAGUUUUAGAGAUUCCUAUAUGCAGGAUCCAUCCAAUUUCUAAGAACAACCAAAAUAAAUUUAUGUAUUUGAAUUAUGGAUUACUUGUAAGGUUUACUGAUACUUGAAUCAUAAUUUUUCUGUGAUUUCCACGCUAGUGUCGAUCAAAACCUAUAUACAUGUGAAUCUGGCCAAUGCAACGAGAAGAAAAAGAAAAACACUGCUACACGUACAGCCAUAGUAGCCUCGACCAGUGGGGUUUCAUUUAUUCUAAUAGCCGUUGGAAUAUUGUGGAUCUUUAAAAGGAAACAAUCAAAAGGUAAUGCCGAAAUAACUACGAAAAAUUCGUAUUUUCUGUUAACAACAUGCCAAAAAAUUAUUCUUCCAACCAAUUAUUUUUAAAUGAAGUUGAAAAAUUUACAGAUUCGGUGGCAGUAAAUCAUCAGAUUGAGAUUUCACAGCAAUCCACAGAAAAGGAUAAUUCGUUCCAGCAAGGCACAAGUCAAAAGUAUUCAUACUAUGAUGUCCUUCAAAUCACUAACAAUUUGAAUAGAAUUAUUGGUAAAGGAGGAUUUGGAACAGUUUACCUGGGCUUUAUCGAUGAGACUCCAGUUGCAGUGAAAAUGCUUUCCCCAUCAGCAGUUCAUGGUUAUCAACAAUUUCAAGCAGAGGUAAGUUAUUAAUCAAUUAAAUCUAGGUUUCUGACUUUGGUACCGAACCUAUAUGGUAUAACAUGAUUGUGACUUUUAUUUCUAGGUUAAACUUCUAAUCAGAGUUCACCACAAAAAUUUGAUAUCCCUUAUUGGUUACUGUAACGAAGGAACCAAUAAGGGCCUUAUAUAUGAAUACAUGGCUAAAGGCA